rnacentral:lncRNA from 1 species
CACAACCCUCAGUAUUACAAUAUUUUGUACAUGUCAUGCUCAUGUGAAACAGUACAAAAUUCCUACCCAUCCAUCUGCUACACAAGAGUUUCUUAGUAAUCGUCAUCUGAUUCACCAAAACAGUAGGAGUCGUAGCUCAAUGUAGACGAACCACCAGUAACAAUAUGCAAUUAAACUACUAAUAAUUUGCAGACAAGCUACCAGUAAGUUGGGCACAAACCGCCAGUACUCCAAACAAUACUCCAGAGGUUGCAGAUUAACUACUAAUGUAAUAAUACAGAUAAACCGCCAAUACUCCAUGAAACUCCUCCAUCACCAAUAAAUCUUCAAUCUCUAUGUAAUGCAAUAUGUCAUAUCAAUAAUGUAGCAUAUCAUGCUAGUCAUUAACAAUAUCAAUAACAGUGGCAUACUUAACAUGGUUUUAGUUUAUCAGUAUCCGUGGCAUGCUUUACAUGCAAUUGAUAUAUACAAUAUAAACCAGUGUCAUGCUUUUACAUGCAAACAAUAAACUGCAGCUCAUCUACAUCUCAACAGACCUACAAUCAGAAAAUGCAUACGACACUUACACACACUGUACAACCCAAUUUUGCCCAAACAUGGGCCCAACAAAUAAAACAAUAACUAACCUAAAACUAAUCCAAAUACAGCCCAAAACCCGAAUCCCAAAACACCCAAGCCCAAUUUCAUAAAAAAAAAUCUGCCUAGGGUCCUUUGGCCUCUGCCACUGCCACUCCGCGCCGCACCUACCACCACCUGCUCCCAUCACCACUGGCAUCUGCAAAGGAGAAAGAAGCAAGGAAAAUAUAUCAAAAACAGUAACAAAAAUAGGCUAUAAAAGCCAAACUUGUAACAUGAAAAGGGGCUUUUUUCUUUGAAAAAAAAAAGGCUAUUUAUGUAACACAAAAACGGAUUAAACAAAGAUCUUAAGGUGAUUCCUUUUUUUCUUUUCACAUCUUUCCCUUUAGAUCUGUUUUUUUACUUUUAUACAUAUAAUAUACAUAUACUAAUAAAAAAGAAUAGUUGAUAUUCGCGAAAAAAAAAUACCUCUUUUGAAUUUUCCGGCCACCGCACGUGACGCCGGCGCGACGGAGGCACGGCGGUCUCCUUUGCCGGAUUCUGGGUUUCUGCCGGAGAAGGGGAAAUGUUUUGAGAGAAAAAGGGGUGAAGGGUUUUGUUUUUUUUUAAGAAAUGAGAAUUUGAAUUUUUUUUUGUUUUUUUUCACUUAAAUAUCGUUAGUAAAACGACGCCGUUUUGGGUGAGGGGAUCCGCGUGUUGACCCGACCCGCACCCAAGGAUCCGCAUGUUUUCAUUUAAGGGUCUAUUUGUGCGCUCAGUCCCUCCUACUUUGAA